CACAAAAUGACUCUCGGCAACGGAUAUCUCGGCUCUUGCAUCGAUGAAGAACGCAGCGAAAUGCGAUACUUGGUGUGAAUUGCAGAAUCCCGUGAACCAUCGAGUCUUUGAACGCAAGUUGCGCCCGAAGCCGUCAGGCUGAGGGCACGCCUGCCUGGGUGUCACA
rnacentral:rRNA from 1 species